AGUACGGCGGAACACGAGAAAUUCCGUCGGAAUCCGCGGGGACCAUCCCGCAAGGCUAAAUACUCCCUAGUGACCGAUAGUGAACCAGUACCGUGAGGGAAAGGUGAAAAGCACCCCGGAAGGGGAGUGAAAUAGAUCCUGAAACCGUGUGCCUACAACAAGUCAAAGCUCGUUAAUGAGUGAUGGCGUGCCUUUUGUAGAAUGAACCGGCGAGUUACGAUUGCAUGCGAGGUUAAGUCGAAGAGACGGAGCCGCAGCGAAAGCGAGUCUGAAUAGGGCGAAUGAGUAUGUAGUCGUAGACCCGAAACCAUGUGAUCUACCCAUGUCCAGGUUGAAGGUGCGGUAAAACGCACUGGAGGACCGAACCCACGUACGUUGAAAAGUGCGGGGAUGAGGUGUGGGUAGCGGAGAAAUUCCAAACGAACUUGGAGAUAGCUGGUUCUCUCCGAAAUAGCUUUAGGGCUAGCCUCGGAAUUGAGAAUGAUGGAGGUAGAGCACUGUUUGGACUAGGGGCCCAUCUCGGGUUACCGAAUUCAGAUAAACUCCGAAUGCCAUUCAUUUAUAUCCGGGAGUCAGACUGCGAGUGAUAAGAUCCGUAGUCGAAAGGGAAACAGCCCAGACCACCAGCUAAGGUCCCAAAAUAUAUGUUAAGUGGAAAAGGAUGUGGGGUUGCACAGACAACUAGGAUGUUGGCUUAGAAGCAGCCACCAUUUAAAGAGUGCGUAAUAGCUCACUAGUCGAGUGACCCUGCGCCGAAAAUGUACCGGGGCUAAACAUAUUACCGAAGCUGUGGACUACACCAUUAGGUGUAGUGGUAGGAGAGCGUUCUAAGGGCGUUGAAGGUCGAUCGUGAGGACGGCUGGAGCGCUUAGAAGUGAGAAUGCCGGUAUGAGUAGCGAAAGACAGGUGAGAAUCCUGUCCACCGUAUGACUAAGGUUUCCUGGGGAAGGCUCGUCCGCCCAGGGUUAGUCGGGACCUAAGCCGAGGCCGAUAGGCGUAGGCGAUGGACAACAGGUUGAUAUUCCUGUACCAGUUGUUUUUGUUUGAGCAAUGGAGGGACGCAGUAGGCUAAGGAAUGCAUGCGAUUGGAAGUGCAUGUCCAAGCAAUGAGUCUUGAGUAGAGUUAAAUGCUUUACUCUUUAAGGACAAGUUGUGACGGGGAGCGAAAUAAUAGUAGCGAAGUUCCUGAUGUCACACUGCCAAGAAAAGCUUCUAGU
rnacentral:rRNA from 1 species